AUUGAACGCUGGCGGCAGGCCUAACACAUGUAAGUCGAGCGGUAGAGAGGUGCUUGCACCUCUUGAGAGCGGCGGACGGGUGAGUAAUGCCUAGGAAUCUGCCUGGUAGUGGGGGAUAACGCUCGGAAACGGACGCUAAUACCGCAUACGUCCUACGGGAGAAAGCAGGGGACCUUCGGGCCUUGCGCUAGCAGAUGAGCCUAGGUCGGAUUAGCUAGUUGGUGAGGUAAUGGCUCACCAAGGCGACGAUCCGUAACUGGUCUGAGAGGAUGAUCAGUCACACUGGAACUGAGACACGGUCCAGACUCCUACGGGAGGCAGCAGUGGGGAAUAUUGGACAAUGGGCGAAAGCCUGAUCCAGCCAUGCCGCGUGUGUGAAGAAGGUCUUCGGAUUGUAAAGCACUUUAAGUUGGGAGGAAGGGUCGUUACCUAAUAUGUGACGAUUUUGACGUUACCGACAGAAUAAGCACCGGCUAACUCUGUGCCAGCAGCCGCGGUAA
rnacentral:rRNA from 1 species